rnacentral:rRNA from 1 species
AUUGAACGCUGGCGGCAGGCUUAACACAUGCAAGUCGAGCGGAGAUGAGGUGCUUGCACCUUAUCUUAGCGGCGGACGGGUGAGUAAUGCUUAGGAAUCUGCCUAUUAGUGGGGGACAACAUUCCGAAAGGAAUGCUAAUACCGCAUACGCCCUACGGGGGAAAGCAGGGGAUCUUCGGACCUUGCGCUAAUAGAUGAGCCUAAGUCGGAUUAGCUAGUUGGUGGGGUAAAGGCCUACCAAGGCGACGAUCUGUAGCGGGUCUGAGAGGAUGAUCCGCCACACUGGGACUGAGACACGGCCCAGACUCCUGCGGGAGGCAGCAGUGGGGAAUAUUGGACAAUGGGGGGAACCCUGAUCCAGCCAUGCCGCGUGUGUGAAGAAGGCCUUAUGGUUGUAAAGCACUUUAAGCGAGGAGGAGGCUCUUUUGGUUAAUACCCAGGAUGAGUGGACGUUACUCGCAGAAUAAGCACCGGCUAACUCUGUGCCAGCAGCCGCCGUAAUAC